rnacentral:rRNA from 1 species
GACGAAACGCUGGCGGCGUGCCUAAUACAUGCAAGUCGAGCGAAGUUUUUCUGGUGCUUUGCACUUAGAAAAACUUAGCGGCGAACGGGUGAGUAACACGUAAAGAACCUGCCUUAUAGACUGGGACAACUAUUGGAAACGAUAGCUAAUACCGGAUAACAGCAUUAACUGCAUGGUUGAUGUUUGAAAGUUGGUUUUGCUAACACUAUGAGAUGGCUAUGCGGUGCAUUAGCUAGUUGGUGGGGUAAAGGCCUACCAAGGCGACGAUGCAUAGCCGACCUGAGAGGGUGAUCGGCCACACUGGGACUGAGACACGGCCCAGACUCCUACGGGAGGCAGCAGUAGGGAAUCUUCCGCAAUGGGCGAAAGCCUGACGGAGCAACGCCGCGUGAGUGAAGAAGGAUUUCGGUUCGUAAAGCUCUGUUGUUAGGGAAGAAUGAUUGUGUAGUAACUAUACACAGUAGAGACGGUACCUAACCAGAAAGCCACGGCUAACUACGUGCCAGCAGCCGCGGUAAUACGUAGGUGGCAAGCGUUGUCCGGAAUUAUUGGGCGUAAAGCGCGCGCAGGUGGUUUAAUAAGUCUGAUGUGAAAGCCCACGGCUCAACCGUGGAGGGUCAUUGGAAACUGUUAAACUUGAGUGCAGGAGAGAAAAGUGGAAUUCCUAGUGUAGUGGUGAAAUGCGUAGAGAUUAGGAGGAACACCAGUGGCGAAGGCGGCUUUUUGGCCUGUAACUGACACUGAGGCGCGAAAGCGUGGGGAGCAAACAGG